AUGUAUGCGAUAGUCCCAUUCCCACUAUACACGGUAGUUUACUGUGGGGGAGGGUCCAGGCCAUGCUGGGUCAGGCAGCAUCUCUGGGGGCCAGGGACAGCCUGUGCCCCUUGCCUGGGUCUUGGAUGGGGGGUGGAAAUCAUCUGGGAGUUGGGGGCCUCCUGGGGCCUAGUCAGUGUAGUGUUCAGUCCUGGGAAGUCCAGUGUUGGGGUGUGGGGGAGCAGAAUGGGGACACAGCCCCACCUCAGAUGCCUGGUCUGUGUGGGGCCUGCUGGACCCCUGAGCCCCACCAUGAGGAGUGAGGGGGACAGCAGUGGAAGCAGGGCUUCCUGGAAGACGUGGAUGGAGUGCCACAGGCAGCCCAGGGCGCAGAGGUUGCAGGCCACAGCCAGUUGUGGUUUGGAUAGCCCUGGGCUACCCCGGCUCACUGGUCACCAGCUGGUGAAUGCAGACAGCCGGAAGCCCAGGUGUAAAGCUACUCCCACCCUUGAGCUGCUGAUUCAUGGCAGGAGGGCGGGGCGGGGGGCCCCAGGGACCUUGGUACCCACCAACCCAGUGGGUUCCAGGGGUGCACCCCCCAUCCUCCCUGAGACCCAGAUCACUGGGCUGGGGAAGGGGUGUCAGGGUGGGGCUUUUCACUCUGAAGCAUCUGGUCCAGGAUGGAGCCAGACCGAUGGGAGGAUGAUGCCCACACGGAGGGGACAGGCUGAGGGCCCAGCAGGUCCUCGUCCCUGUAGGAGAGAGUGCAGCCAUGAGCUUUGCAGGACAGAACAGGCAGGGGUGGGACAGGUAGAUGCACUGACACUUGCAAUGCGUGGAACAGGCACCCCACAGACGAGAGAAGGGGAGGAGCUGGGGGUGCAGGAGGGCCCACGGGGACCUAUGGGACUGGGAGGCCCAGGGUCAGUGGCCACAGCAGUGGGGUUGGGCAUGCAGCUUGAGGAGUCUGGGAGACAGGGACGCAGGCAGGACAGGUGCAGGUGGACCCCACGUGCGGGGACAAUGGUCAGGCACAGCGGCAGGGUAUCCUUGGGGGUGAACCUGGGAACACAGGGCUCAGCCCAGGGAACUCAGGGCAGGGGGACAGUGACUUGCAGCUGCAGACCCAAGUCGGUUCUCAGGCUGUCACGGAUGGGCCUAGCGCCCUGGAACUGUGGGGAGUAA
rnacentral:lncRNA from 1 species